GAUCAUGGCUCAGGAUGAACGCUAGCUACAGGCUUAACACAUGCAAGUCGAGGGGCAGCAUGACGAUAGCUUGCUAUUGUUGAUGGCGACCGGCGCACGGGUGAGUAACGCGUAUCCAACCUUCCCGUUGCUAGGGGGUAACCUUGCGAAGUAAGACUAAUACCUACUGAAGUUCUUCGCAGGCAUCUAAAGAGAACGAAAGAUUAUCGGCAACGGAUGGGGAGUGCGU
rnacentral:rRNA from 1 species